rnacentral:tRNA from 1 species
GGUAAAAUGGCUGGGUAAAGCAUUAGACUGUAAAUCUAAGCACAGGGGAUGAUCCCCUUUUUUCCA